UCUCAAACUUGAAGAAUUGAUCAAUGAAUUUUACUUUUUGAAGUUUAGUUCCAAAUUUCAUUUGGUUUGAAACUUUAACUUCUAUUUGUUUUGGUUCGUAACUUCUAUUUGGAUUGCAAGCUUAAUUUUCAUCAUGAAUCUUGAUGUAUCAUUAUAUUAUUAUGUGUGUGAAUUGUAAGUGAUGAAUAAUUGAUAAAUUUAGAUUACAAUGUAUGAGAUAAAGGUACCAAAAAAAAAAAAAAAAGUUUUGCCAUUGAAUUGGGUUAAAAAAAAUAAAACAAAAUGGCAAUUACCAUUGUCAUACCAUACCAUGCAAACCGAAUUAUUUAGCAACACUGAACUUCAGUAUGCUAAAAUUUUGAUACGAUAAUGAUAAUAGAUUUUGUCGAACCAAAAAUUUGAUACGAUAAUUAUUACAAGAGUUUUGAUACUCUAACAGGGCCGAACCCACCCCCAUGUGCACCAGAGGAGGUCCAUUUCCUUGUAAUCACACCAUCACAGAGUCCUGGACAUUUUUUUUUCUCUUCUCCUUUUCCAUGGUCGUACUCCUUUCGUGUUCAUUUGCCCAGCAAAAAACCUGAAACUCCUUUAAAAACCCUGAAUUUCAACCGGAGGACGAACAAUUCCCGCCAUUUUCCGCUUCUUGGAUAAGCGUUAAUUUCACUCCCCUGCAAAAAUACCGUUGGUUGUAGAACACAGUAACAGCUUACCUACAUUGUGAGAAUAUGGCACAUAAUUCAGUUCCUCCUGGUUUUGUGUCUCGUACAUCCUUCAUGCUGAAGAAACUAAUAGUUCCAAUGCCUUUGUUGAUGCUUCUAAUGAAGGGCCAGUCCAGAUGGAUACCGCGUCUGACCUGACUGACAUGGAUAAGUUGAAAAGACAAAGGCCAUGGAUACUUUUCGACCAAAGUGAUCUCAACACCGAGGAAUCUGAGUCUGAACACUUUAAUACGGACCCCCCCACAAAAUCUUGCCUUCCCAAAGGUGUUACUCAUGGAUGUCCAGAUUGCAGUGGUUGCCUGAAGGUUGAUUUUCAUUCACUGAGUUGAUUCUCUUCCCUUUGAAUUGUAUAGUUCUUAGGUGACAGGAAGGUGGCAUCCUGAAGAGGCAAGAACAUAUGUCCUUGAAGAAGCACCUCUUUUCUGACUUUUACGACAUUUUCAUUUGUUCCAGGACAGACAUCUUUGCCGAAUCCUUUGUUUUAAUGCUCAAUUUUUGCUUAUAAAAUUUCAGUCCUUGAGUUUCUAAAGGAGUUUGGCUUUGUCCUGCAGGAAUUUAAAGACACUCUUAAGUAUGUUGCAAAUAUACGUGCAAGAAGCAGAGCAAUGUGGUAUAUGUCGGAUUAUUCCUCCGCCCUCCUGGAAACCUCCAUGUCUUAUUAAAACAAAAUAUGGAAAUGUUGUACAUUUUCUACCCAUAUUCAGCGAAUUGAUGGGCUACGAAAUCAGUAUUCACCGAGUAAAAUGGAAGCCGACUGAACAUUCUUAUGUCAAAGGUUUUGAACCAGAACCUGGACGAGAAUUGGCUCUUGAGAAUUUGAAGAGUUAUGCAGCUGAUUUCAAGCAUCAAUAUUUCCGCAAAAGUGAAAUCGCUGGUGGCCUAGAUAAGUGGGUGCCAUCACUAGAGAAUAUUGACGCUGAAAAUCCAACUGAGGAAAUUGAGGUGCGUUCAUAAAUUGGGGAGGACAACUUCGAUAUCUCAUGAUAAGCUACUGCUCGGAGCAGCUAGAGAGGCUGUGAAAUCAAAUUCAAAUGAUCAUCCAACGAGAUCCCUCGACUCUGCCACAGCCACAGGGAACGGUAGGGUUCGGUUGCUAGCAUCAUGGUAAAGGUGAAGGCGCAUGCACCCCGAUCAACAACCUUCAAUGAACUGUUAAU